UUUUCUUCUUUUUCUGUGUGCACUCUCACCCCACGGAGGAUCAAUGUUUGGCCUAGCCGUGUUAAUAGAGAUGCCAGAUCAACAAGUCUCUUUCAUCCCUGGAAAGAUGUAGUUCAAUUGUCCUCCCAGCUGCAUAUUGAAGACCAUAUUUCAAACUUUUAUUUGUUAUUUCCAAGAAUCACGCUUGAAAUGAGCUUUAGUAAUGCCGUCUAAUUUGGUUACAGAUUGCUAACGAACCCAUCAGACUUGAUUAGUGACUAGAUUGUGAAGCGCUGAAAAAGACGGGACUGCAACAAACUGCAUAUUUAGGGAAUUUCUGAAUUAGUGAAGUCUGAUCUAUUGUGAAAAGGACACCGACUCGCCCCCAAACCAAACUUCGAACAACCCACUUUUGUGCUUAGUUCUCAAUAAACUUUACCUACAAAAAAAAUAAGCCGUCUUUGUCCACAUUACAAUGUAAAUACACUUCCCCGGUUGGUAGGGUUGGGUUCCAUCUAGGUUAGGUGAAGUUGCCCUCGUGGCAGAAAGGAACGGAAAGAAAACUGUCCUCGGUUAUUGUUCCUACGCCCGCGCCAACCGUAACUUCAGCCUGAGACAGAAACGAAGCGAGAUGCUAGACCAAAUUUA